rnacentral:misc_RNA from 1 species
GAGAGAGAGAGAGAGAGGAGGAAACAAAAGUGAUGUGAACCCGCCUAACUUCAUGCUGUGUUAUUUAAACGGGUUGUCUCAGAAAUUGCCAUCCCAACUUUAAAUGACUUCUGCUUAUGCGGAACAGGGUUGAUAUAACAAUGAAACCAUUUAAUAAUGCUCAGUAAACCUGGUCAGCCACUUCAAUCUCCACAAGGAUUAAAAUGGAAAGGGCCCAAACAGACAAUUUGGUAGAGGAAGAGGCAGUUGAAGAUGCUUUAAGAAUUAAUCUUUAUUGGCCAGAACUUAAUAAAAUCACUUAGGCAAAUAAGAGUUCACUUACGCUUUUCUCAAGUGCCG